AUCUUUUUCCAUAGUCUUCUUACAGCACCCUGCCUCGUCCGAUCCAGGAAGUCAAGCUGAAGAGCGCUCGGUUAGUACCACGAUGGGGGACAACGGUGAGGGCGUUA
rnacentral:rRNA from 1 species